GCAGUCGAACGAACUCUGGUAUUGAUUGGUGCUUGCAUCAUGAUUUACAUUUGAGUGAGUGGCGAACUGGUGAGUAACACGUGGGAAACCUGCCCAGAAGCGGGGGAUAACACCUGGAAACAGAUGCUAAUACCGCAUAACAACUUGGACCGCAUGGUCCGAGUUUGAAAGAUGGCUUCGGCUAUCACUUUUGGAUGGUCCCGCGGCGUAUUAGCUAGAUGGUGGGGUAACGGCUCACCAUGGCAAUGAUACGUAGCCGACCUGAGAGGGUAAUCGGCCACAUUGGGACUGAGACACGGCCCAAACUCCUACGGGAGGCAGCAGUAGGGAAUCUUCCACAAUGGACGAAAGUCUGAUGGAGCAACGCCGCGUGAGUGAAGAAGGGUUUCGGCUCGUAAAACUCUGUUGUUAAAGAAGAACAUAUCUGAGAGUAACUGUUCAGGUAUUGACGGUAUUUAACCAGAAAGCCACGGCUAACUACGUGCCAGCAGCCGCGGUAAUACGUAGGUGGCAAGCGUUGUCCGGAUUUAUUGGGCGUAAAGCGAGCGCAGGCGGUUUUUUAAGUCUGAUGUGAAAGCCUUCGGCUCAACCGAAGAAGUGCAUCGGAAACUGGGAAACUUGAGUGCAGAAGAGGACAGUGGAACUCCAUGUGUAGCGGUGAAAUGCGUAGAUAUAUGGAAGAACACCAGUGGCGAAGGCGGCUGUCUGGUCUGUAACUGACGCUGAGGCUCGAAAGUAUGGGUAGCAAACAGGAUUAGAUACCCUGGUAGUCCAUACCGUAAACGAUGAAUGCUAAGUGUUGGAGGGUUUCCGCCCUUCAGUGCUGCAGCUAACGCAUUAAGCAUUCCGCCUGGGGAGUACGGCCGCAAGGCUGAAACUCAAAGGAAUUGACGGGGGCCCGCACAAGCGGUGGAGCAUGUGGUUUAAUUCGAAGCUACGCGAAGAACCUUACCAGGUCUUGACAUACUAUGCAAAUCUAAGAGAUUAGACGUUCCCUUCGGGGACAUGGAUACAGGUGGUGCAUGGUUGUCGUCAGCUCGUGUCGUGAGAUGUUGGGUUAAGUCCCGCAACGAGCGCAACCCUUAUUAUCAGUUGCCAGCAUUAAGUUGGGCACUCUGGUGAGACUGCCGGUGACAAACCGGAGGAAGGUGGGGAUGACGUCAAAUCAUCAUGCCCCUUAUGACCUGGGCUACACACGUGCUACAAUGGAUGGUACAACGAGUUGCGAACUCGCGAGAGUAAGCUAAUCUCUUAAAGCCAUUCUCAGUUCGGAUUGUAGGCUGCAACUCGCCUACAUGAAGUCGGAAUCGCUAGUAAUCGCGGAUCAGCAUGCCGCGGUGAAUACGUUCCCGGGCCUUGUACACACCGCCCGUCACACCAUGAGAGUUUGUAACACCCAAAGUCGGUGGGGUAACCUUUUAGGAACCAGCCG
rnacentral:rRNA from 2 species